rnacentral:rRNA from 1 species
AGAGUUUGAUCCUGGCUCAGGAUGAUUGCUGGCGGCGUGCCUAACACAUGCAAGUCGAGCGAUUCUCUUCGGAGAAGAGCGGCGGACGGGUGAGUAACGCGUGGGUAACCUGCCCUGUACACACGGAUAACAUACCGAAAGGUAUGCUAAUACGAGAUAAUAUGCUUUUAUCGCAUGGUAGAAGUAUCAAAGCUUUUGCGGUACAGGAUGGACCCGCGUCUGAUUAGCUAGUUGGUAAGGUAACGGCUUACCAAGGCGACGAUCAGUAGCCGACCUGAGAGGGUGAUCGGCCACAUUGGAACUGAGACACGGUCCAAACUCCUACGGGAGGCAGCAGUGGGGAAUAUUGCACAAUGGGCGAAAGCCUGAUGCAGCAACGCCGCGUGAGCGAUGAAGGCCUUCGGGUCGUAAAGCUCUGUCCUCAAGGAAGAUAAUGACGGUACUUGAGGAGGAAGCCCCGGCUAACUACGUGCCAGCAGCCGCGGUAAUACGUAGGGGGCUAGCGUUAUCCGGAAUUACUGGGUGUAAAGGGAGCGCAGGCGGGAAGACAAGUUGGAAGUGAAAUCUAUGGGCUCAACCCAUAAACUGCUUUCAAAACUGUUUUUCUUGAGUAGUGCAGAGGUAGGCGGAAUUCCCGGUGUAGCGGUGGAAUGCGUAGAUAUCGGGAGGAACACCAGUGGCGAAGGCGGCCUACUGGGCACCAACUGACGCUGAGGCUCGAAAGUGUGGGUAGCAAACAGGAUUAGAUACCCUGGUAGUCCACACCGUAAACGAUGAUUACUAGGGGGUUGGAGGAU